rnacentral:lncRNA from 1 species
CACCGAUCUUCUGAUGUAGCUUCCAACCCCCCACCCCCAUCCCCACCCCCCACCCCCACCCCUAGCUCUCCGGCAGAUUCAAACCACCCUCAGAACUCCAUCCGGGACAUCACCCAGAAGGUUCCAGGCUUGCUUUGGAGACAAAUCACUGAGGUCCAUGGCAAGUACAGAGUGGAGUUCAAAUCUGCUCUUUGAGAAGAGAGGCCCAGAAGAGAGUGGAUUCUUGAAGCCCCAUGGAGGGCUAGCUACAUUUUACCUGGAGACAAGAUAAUCUGAGGGGUGAAGCCAGUGAUGCAGAGCACCAAGACUCAGAAGAUGAAUAUUGUGCCUGCUUUGGCGAGACAUGGUUCAGACUCAGGAGUAUGUAAUGAUAAUAAAGAGAAGAUAUGAUGAUAUCAGAGAGUUGUGCAUUAUGUGCAACGCAGAAUGUAAAGAUAAUAGAACAGAAAACAGACCCGGGGCUUCCAGGCUGUCCACGCCUCUGUGCUAACAGGUUAGACGAGUACUGACUGGCAUGAAAGAGUUCUCCACGAGGCCAUCUAAGCAAAGGAUACUGAGCAGGACUAGUGUUUCUGAGCAGAAACCAGACACGACUAUCUGAUGAUUCUAAAGAGGGCAGGGGUCCCUUUACAUCAGACCCAUCAGAUGUAAAGUAAGAGUGAGUAGGUGUCUGUGUGAGGGGAUUCUGUGUCACUUUAGAAAGUCUGGGUUUAUUUGCUCCAUGC